GAUGAACGCUGGCGGCGUGCCUAAUACAUGCAAGUCGAGCGAACGGACGAGAAGCUUGCUUCUCUGAUGUUAGCGGCGGACGGGUGAGUAACACGUGGAUAACCUACCUAUAAGACUGGGAUAACUUCGGGAAACCGGAGCUAAUACCGGAUAAUAUUUUGAACCGCAUGGUUCAAAAGUGAAAGACGGUCUUGCUGUCACUUAUAGAUGGAUCCGCGCUGCAUUAGCUAGUUGGUAAGGUAACGGCUUACCAAGGCAACGAUGCAUAGCCGACCUGGGAGGGUGAUCGGCCACACUGGAACUGAGACACGGUCCAGACUCCUACGGGAGGCAGCAGUAGGGAAUCUUCCGCAAUGGGCGAAAGCCUGACGGAGCAACGCCGCGUGAGUGAUGAAGGUCUUCGGAUCGUAAAACUCUGUUAUUAGGGAAGAACAUAUGUGUAAGUAACUGUGCACACCUUGACGGUACCUAAUCAGAAAGCCACGGCUAACUACGUG
rnacentral:rRNA from 1 species